CGAGACCCACCCCCCCCCACUCUAUUUUCUUUUUCCUCUCCGCGUGAACCCUAGCGCCGACCCCGUCUUGCUACUGAUCGCCGACCUCGAAGCGCCGCUGUCCACUGCAGUCUGGACCCGCCGGAUCUAAAGUGGAACGCCAGCCAUUCAAUCGACACACCUCAGAUCUCGCGGCCGAAGCCUCCCCCUAGCGCGCCGCCUCUCCCUCGCCGUCCCUCUUCUUCACGUUCACAAGCUGCCACCAGUCGUCUGGCCGCUUCGUUCGUGGGUCGCCGCGCCAUCCGCCAAGGUAUAAAGCCGAACGAUCCAGCCCAGUCAUCGAAACUUCCACCGUGAGUCGUUCCUCUGCUUCAUUCCGCCGAUAGUCGUUCGUCCACUCAGUCCUGCACGCCGUUGCCAUCAGUUCAGUGUCAUCGCCAUCGAUUUCGAUAAGAUUUGUUUUGGUUGGCCAACAAAAUUGGAUUUUUAGAAUUAAUUUUGGACCAAGCCACAAUUUCGGUGUUACUUCAAGGUCUUGCUUGGAAAGAAGAAGAUAAACUUGCUUAGGUUUAUUUGGAUUUAACUCUGAGGUCUAAAAUUAGUAAAGAAGACUCUUUUGGAGGUCUACUACAAAGAUUGAGCAAGGAUUUUAUGGGGAUUGCAAGGAUUUUGUGGAAAUCAUCAAAGGAAUGUGAUUAACCUGGGACAGCUAUGACACCCGUAGUUUCCCUUUGAGUUAAAGUGCCCUUGAGGAAUGAGUAAGCUUCGGCAUCUUUAAAGGAUACGUUGCUCAUAGUUGGAUUUCUUUCACGUAACCUGUGUAGGCAAGCCAAAAAUAAGGUAUUAAGCACAAAAGAGGUAGAACCGAGCAAUUAAAGUCAAAUGGGGUUAAUUUGAAGCAAUUUGGAGGUUAUUUGAGCAUCCAGACUUCAAAGCUCCAAUUCAACAGUGAACCAUCAAGAGAUCUUUUCUACUAUUCUCAGUCUUAAUUUUGAGUGGUGGAACUCAAAUUGGAGUGAAUUUGGUGAAGGAAAAAAUGUGGAUUCUUGUGAAGAAGAAGAUGACAGCAGUCAUAACAAUUUUUCAGAAGCAAAACUCUGAUCCAAUCUUCAAAUUGAAGAGGUUUUAAGUUAAAUUCACAUGCAAGCACUAAAGCAUCAUCCUCCAUAACACUUAAAUCAGCAAAUCAAAUGGGCAAGGUGUGUAAUUAAGAGGAGAACCCUCCUACAUAACGAAUUUGUGGGAAAUUCCCACUAACUUGAAUUUCCAAUUUUUAAAUCCAAUUUUAAUUAAUUCAAAAAUUAAAUAAAAUAUAAUUUAAUUAAUUCGAAAUGAAUU